rnacentral:tRNA from 1 species
GGAUAUAACUCAGCAGCACAGUACCUGCCUGGAAAGCACAAGACCCUGAGUUCAAUUCUCAGUACCA